CGCUCCCUCACCGAGUCGGGGAGAAUACACCCAGAGAGCAGAGGGCGGUGCAGGACUCCAAGAGGCUCCAUGGAAUUGAUGCAGCUGCAGUGCCCUUGGACUGAUGUUGCUUCAAGCUGAGAACUGUCCCCAAUGUGUCUGGUGGAUUCCAAAGACAGCCUUUGCAUGUUCACAGGGUGGAAAGGACCACCUCCCACGCGUGCAUUUGACCGCGGUCAAGGCCAGCUGGGUCUCUGAGGAUGGGCUGGAUUCCAAGGACCAGGAGGAAGAUAACAUUUUCAAAACCAUAAAGAAUAAAAUGAAUAAGGAAAGAAGGAAGGAAAAGAAGACUUUCCCUUCAAAUUAACCUUUGGAACCAUAAGUUUGGAUCUCUAAGGAAAUAAUGAAGGAAGUAUC